rnacentral:rRNA from 1 species
UACGUAGGGUGCGAGCGUUGUCCGGAAUUAUUGGGCGUAAAGAGCUCGUAGGCGGUUUGUCGCGUCGUUCGUGAAAACUCCACGCUUAACGUGGAGCGUGCGGGCGAUACGGGCAGACUUGAGUUCGGUAGGGGAGACUGGAAUUCCUGGUGUAGCGGUGAAAUGCGCAGAUAUCAGGAGGAACACCGGUGGCGAAGGCGGGUCUCUGGGCCGAUACUGACGCUGAGGAGCGAAAGCGUGGGGAGCAAACAGG